rnacentral:rRNA from 1 species
UACGAACUGCGCGAACGUUAUUCGGAAUCACUGGGCUUACAGGGUGCGUAGGCGGCCAGCCAGGUCCGAUGUGAAAUCCCACAGCUCAACUGUGGAAUGGCAUUGGAAACCGGUUGGCUCGAGUGAGCUAGAGGUGCACGGAACUUCCGGUGGAGCGGUGAAAUGUGUUGAGAUCGGAAGGAACACCAGAGGCGAAGGCGGUGCACUGGGGCUUGUCUGACGCUGAGGCACGAAAGCCAGGGGAGCGAACGGG